ensembl:lncRNA
AUGUAUUUCCUCAAACAUAUAAAGAGUAUGCACAUAAAAGUAUGCCUACUAUCAAAGGAAUCUGAACAAUUUGGGGGCACUAGGGACGCUCGACAUUUUAAAAUCCUGAGAACCUCUGAUCUUGACUUCAAAGGGGGCAAAAGUCUAGGUUUGGGGUCCUUCAGAAACAGCAAGCUAGGAACUCGUUGGACUGGGGUCACAUAUGUCAGAGAGACCAAGUCAUAUCUUGUCAGCAGGAUAUCUCAAAGCAAGUUAAUCUCUGUUGUUUUCUUUUUAUCCCCGGGCUUCAAUGCAGCCCUGUAUAGGUAUUCUUCUGGAGCAAUCGUUCUCAAACUUCGGGGAGAUAGGCAUCCCCAGGAGAGCUUGUUUAACAAGUCUCCCGGGCCCCAACACCAGAGAUUCUGACUCAGUAGGUUGGGGUGAGGCCUUCAAAUCUGCAUUUCAAAGAAGCUCACAGCAGAUGCAAAUGAUGGUGGUACGAGAACCGCUGCUCUGGAUUCUUUGCUGCACUCAGCAAACUAAAUAGGCAAAUACAGCUCCCCAACCAGAGAGGCUGACAAGUGAGUUCCAAAGAGAUGCUGAAUACUUGGAGAUACGAACUGCUGCUUUGGGACAAAGAUGCCCUUCCUUUCAGGGAAACACCCCCACCAUUGCCAACCGUGAUUUUAGGUGGGAGACUUGCUCUCCCUUGGUAGAACACAGUAUUCUUCGGUUGGAAAGCAAUCUGAUGAGCAGACUAAUGCGAACGGUUACAGGAUAUUCUGUGAGAUACCACGCCUUUAAUCAAAACAGAUUCAACGACAGAAUUUCAAAACCAAGGCCCAUUAGACUUUGUGGGGUCUUUCGGGAGAAGCUUUCCUGUAUCCCUAAACCAACUAUGUAAGUAGAAAGCUUGCUGACUGCUUAAUGUUUUGUUACUACGAUUUCUUCUAGUUCCGUAGCCAACUUUCUUUUUUUACCUUCUGGCUAGGGUUUUCAUUCUUUUAUGUGAUUAAGGACAUUUUUCUGCCCCCAAGUAUUUUAGUCCUCUUAGCCGGCUCUGUCCAAAAGAACUGUCUUUGAUGAUAGAAACGUUCUACAUACGUACUUUGUCACGUAGCAGCCACUAGCCAUACAUGGUUAUACCACACCUGAAAUGUGGCUGGUGCCACUGAGGAACUGAAUUAAUAUUUAAAAUUUAAAUCCCAAUACUGGAUAGCACGGCUAAACCUUUUCUAACCCUUCACGUUUCUUAUGAAGAUUAUAUAGUAGGAUAUUACAAGCACUAAAAAAGAACUAUCUUAAAUCUGGAGCAAGAUGACUUCCCUAACUAGUACGUUUGUUUGGUAAAAGAGGACGUGCUCUUUUUUACAGUUCACUCUAAUUCGUAAGUUGUAGAACGUUUUCUUAACAACGUGUAUUCUCCCAGAUUUCGGGACAGGCUGCCUUUCCUUUUGCUCCAGCGGUUUAUUUGGCAUAAAAUCUGCAGGCUUACAGGAGCUGACACCAGGGCAGAAAAGAAUUAGGAAUCUGUUCCCAAGUUGGUCACAGGCCGCUAAACUGACCUAAAGAUGUUUAAAAUGAAAUUCAAAUACCGCACUUUAAAAAAAUACGAAGGCUGAGAAGAAAACGAGAAAUGGGAAAGCAAGAAGGCGGAGCGUGCCGGCGACUUCUCUGGGGACUUCCUCAGGGGGUCCUGUUCCAGUAACCCCGCUACCCACACCACCGCCUCCCUCGUGUCGGAAGAGGCCAGCCCAAGAGGCUGCCACCUCGUGCUGCGCGCCGCGACCACGGCCGCCGGGUGGUCCCCUGGCCCCGCCCC